rnacentral:rRNA from 1 species
AAUAGAUACCCGGGUAGUCCACCCGUAAACGUUGGGAACUAGUUGUGGGGUCCUUUCCACGGAUUCCGUGACGCAGCUAACGCAUUAAGUUCCCCGCCUGGGGAGUACGGCCGCAAGGCUAAAACUCAAAGGAAUUGACGGGGACCCGCACAAGCGGCGGAGCAUGCGGAUUAAUUCGAUGCAACGCGAAGAACCUUACCAAGGCUUGACAUACACCAGAACACCCUAGAAAUAGGGGACUCUUUGGACACUGGUGAACAGGUGGUGCAUGGUUGUCGUCAGCUCGUGUCGUGAGAUGUUGGGUUAAGUCCCGCAACGAGCGCAACCCUCGUUCUAUGUUGCCAGCACGUAAUGGUGGGAACUCAUGGGAUACUGCCGGGGUCAACUCGGAGGAAGGUGGGGAUGACGUCAAAUCAUCAUGCCCCUUAUGUCUUGGGCUUCACGCAUGCUACAAUGGCCGGUACAAAGGGCUGCAAUACCGUGAGGUGGAGCGAAUCCCAAAAAGCCGGUCCCAGUUCGGAUUGAGGUCUGCAACUCGACUCAUG